GCAGUGGGGAAUAUUGGACAAUGGGCGAAAGCUGAUGCAGCAAUGCCGCGUGAGUGAUGAAGGCCUUCGGGUUGUAAACCUCUUUUACCCAGGGACGAUAAUGACUGUACCCGGAGAAUAAGCCCCGGCUAACUCCGUGCCAGCAGCCGCGGUAAU
rnacentral:rRNA from 1 species